GACGGGGAGGUUUGGCACCUCGAUGUCGGCUCAUCGCAUCCUGGGGCUGUAGUCGGUCCCAAGGGUUGGGCUGUUCGCCCAUUAAAGCGGUACGCGAGCUGGGUUCAGAACGUCGUGAGACAGUUCGGUCCCUAUCCGUCGUGGGCGCAGGAAAUUUGAGAGGAGCUGUCCUUAGUACGAGAGGACCGGGAUGGACGCACCGCUGGUGUACCAGUUGUCUUGCCAAAGGCAUCGCUGGGUAGCUAUGUGCGGACGGGAUAAGUGCUGAAAGCAUCUAAGCAUGAAGCCCCCCUCAAGAUGAGAUUUCCCAUAGCGUCAAGCUAGUAAGAUCCCUGAAAGAUGAUCAGGUUGAUAGGUCAGAGGUGGAAGCGCGGUGACGUGUGGAGCUGACUGAUACUAAUCGAUCGAGGACUUAACCUAAUU
rnacentral:rRNA from 2 species